rnacentral:rRNA from 1 species
UACAGAGGUCUCAAGCGUUGUUCGGAUUCAUUGGGCGUAAAGGGUGCGUAGGCGGCGCGGUAAGUCGGGUGUGAAAUCUCGGAGCUUAACUCCGAAACUGCAUUCGAUACUGCCGUGCUUGAGGACUGGAGAGGAGACUGGAAUUUACGGUGUAGCGGUGAAAUGCGUAGAUAUCGAGAGGAACACCUGCGGCGAAGGCGGGUUGCUGGGCUGAUGACUGACGCUGAGGCGCGAAAGCCAGGGGAGCGAACGAG